AAAAUUAUUUUCCUUUUUCUUAUAGUGUUGGCGCGAUAACGUACCCAGUGGAGCCUGAGGGUACUUCUGGCAACCCGAUCUUAGGCGGUUAUGCUCCAGCAAAGAGCUUAUGAUCACCAGCCUGGACAGUUACUUCUUAAGAUGGACUUAUCCAGAUUUGACCAAGAAUCGGAUCCGGGGAGAAACAAAAAAAAAACACCCUGGCCUCCGCUCGUCUGAGCCUGUUGGAGACCAGGAAUAACCAGUAUAGGUUUUGUUGGGACACUACACACAAGCAGAAUGGAGAGACAAAAAAAAAAGAAA